GAGUUUGAUCGUGGCUCAGAUUGAACGCUGGCGGCAUGCCUUACACAUGCAAGUCGAACGGCAGCACGGGAGCUUGCUCCUGGUGGCGAGUGGCGAACGGGUGAGUAAUGCAUCGGAACGUAUCCUGGAGUGGGGGAUAACGUAGCGAAAGUUACGCUAAUACCGCAUAUUCUGUGAGCAGGAAAGCGGGGGACCUUCGGGCCUCGCGCUCUUGGAGCGGCCGAUGUCGGAUUAGCUAGUUGGUGAGGUAAAGGCUCACCAAGGCGACGAUCCGUAGCAGGUCUGAGAGGAUGAUCUGCCACACUGGAACUGAGACACGGUCCAGACUCCUACGGGAGGCAGCAGUGGGGAAUUUUGGACAAUGGGGGCAACCCUGAUCCAGCCAUGCCGCGUGAGUGAAGAAGGCCUUCGGUUGUAA
rnacentral:rRNA from 1 species